rnacentral:lncRNA from 1 species
CACACACUCAUAUACACACACACUCAAAACACACACACCGGGGGUGGGGGAUGAGCACACAUAUACCCAGAGAGGAGGGGUGAGCACACACACACACUCACACACACACCCAGAGAGAGGGGUGAGCACACAUAUACUCACGUACACACUCAUAUACACAGGCACUCAACACACACACACACCGGAGGUGGGGGGUGAGCACACAUAUACUCACGCACACACUCAACACACACACACACACACACACACACACCAGGGGUGGGGGGUGAGCACACAUAUACCCAGAGAGGAGGGGUGAGCACACACACACACUCACACACACUCACACACACACACCCAGAGAGAGGGGUGAGCACACAUAUACUCACGCACAUACACAGGCACUCAACACACACACACACCGGAGGUGGGGGGUGAGCACACAUAUACUCAUGCACACACUCAACACACACACACACACCAGGGGUGGGGGGUGAGCACACAUAUACCCAGAGAGGAGGGGUGAGCGCACUCGCGCAUGUACGCACACACACACAACACACACGGGAUAGGGGGUGAGCAAGCACACAAACAUACAGUGAAAGCUAAGCAUUCAGUUAAAGCAAGAACUCCCCAAGAUCA